rnacentral:tRNA from 1 species
GGGUCGGUGGCGUAGUUGGUUAUCGCAUCUGUCUAACAUGAUGUACACAGAAGGUCCUCAGUUCGAACCUGGGCCGACUCA